CAGUCGCCGCGGGAAUACGUAGGGGGCGAGCGUUGUCCGAAGUUACUGGGCGUAAAGAGCGCGUAGGCUGGUCUUUAAGUGAGUGGUGAAAGGUUCGGGCUCAACCCGGACACUGCCUUUCAUACUGGGGACCUUGAGUGUGGGAGAGGCGAGUGGAAUGGUCGGUGUAGCGGUGAAAUGCGUAGAUAUCGAUCGGAACACCCAUGGCGAAGGCAGCUCGCUGGCCUAACACUGACGCUGAGGCGCGAAAGCGUGGGGAGCAAACAGGAUUAGAUACCCGCGUAGUCCCUGUCUCUUAUAA
rnacentral:rRNA from 1 species